rnacentral:rRNA from 1 species
GUGGGGAAUUUUGGACAAUGGGCGCAAGCCUGAUCCAGCAAUGCCGCGUGCAGGAAGAAGGCCUUCGGGUUGUAAACUGCUUUUGUACGGAACGAAAAGGCUCUGGUUAAUACCUGGGGCUCAUGACGGUACCGUAAGAAUAAGCACCGGCUAACUACGUGCCAGCAGCCGCGGUAAUACGUAGGGUGCAAGCGUUAAUCGGAAUUACUGGGCGUAAAGCGUGCGCAGGCGGCUUUGUAAGACAGACGUGAAAUCCCCGGGCUCAACCUGGGAAUGGCGUUUGUGACUGCAAAGCUGGAGUGCGGCAGAGGGGGAUGGAAUUCCGCGUGUAGCAGUGAAAUGCGUAGAUAUGCGGAGGAACACCGAUGGCGAAGGCAAUCCCCUGGGCCUGCACUGACGCUCAUGCACGAAAGCGUGGGGAGCAAACAGGAUUAGAAACCCCUGUAGUCC